rnacentral:rRNA from 1 species
UACGUAGGGGGCAAGCGUUGUCCGGAAUCAUUGGGCGUAAAGCGCGUGUAGGCGGUUCAGUAAGUCUGCUGUGAAAGUCCAGGGCUCAACCCUGGGAUGCCGGUGGAUACUGCUGGACUAGAGUGCGGAAGAGGCGAGUGGAAUUCCCGGUGUAGCGGUGAAAUGCGCAGAUAUCAGGAAGAACACCGAUGGCGAAGGCAGUUCUCUGGGGACGGUACUGACGCUGAGACGCGAAAGCGUGGGGAGCGAACAGG